rnacentral:rRNA from 1 species
GACGAACCGUACAAACGUUAUUCGGAAUCACUGGGCUUAAAGGGUGCGUAGGCGGCGGCGCAAGUUGGGUGUGAAAUCCCUCGGCUCAACCGAGGAACUGCGCUCAAAACUGCGUCGCUUGAGGGAGAUAGAGGUGAGUGGAACUUAGGGUGGAGCGGUGAAAAUGCGUUGAUAUCCUAAGGAACACCAGUGGCGAAAGCGGCUCACUGGCUCGAUACUGACGCUGAGGUGCGAAAGCGUGGGGAGCAAACAGG